rnacentral:ncRNA from 1 species
CAACGGACUUAAAGGUACAACUUCACUAAAUUUUGAGCCUUUAAAGGGAAACUUUUAAAGUGAAUGCUUUCAAAUUCAGGGAAACUCUUGAAAAGUUUUUCUAUAGAGUAAUCCUGAGUCAACUUCAAGUUCAAAGAACUUGAAGAGGUGCAGAGACUCAACGGGAGCUAUCCUAACAAUGUACUUGAAAUGUUUUGUACAGUUGAGGAUAAAGAGAGAGUCCAGUUUCUAUUACUGAAAAUCCG